UGGAGAAUAGCUCAGCGGUAGAGCGCCUCGCUGUUAACGAGGAUGUCGCAGGUUCGAUCCCUGCUUCUCCAGCCA
rnacentral:tRNA from 1 species